GUUUGUGGCCCGUCUUAUCUGAUCUUGGAGGCUAUUUGAUCUUGGCCCCUGAUUACUACUUGGAUGGGAGACUGCCUGGGAAUACUGGGUGCUAUAGGCU
rnacentral:rRNA from 10 species